rnacentral:rRNA from 1 species
AUUGAACGCUGGCGGCAGGCCUAACACAUGCAAGUCGAGCGGCAGCGGAAAGUAGCUUGCUACUUUGCCGGCGAGCGGCGGACGGGUGAGUAAUGUCUGGGAAACUGCCUGAUGGAGGGGGAUAACUACUGGAAACGGUAGCUAAUACCGCAUAACGUCGCAAGACCAAAGAGGGGGACCUUCGGGCCUCUUGCCAUCAGAUGUGCCAAGAUGGGAUUAGAUAGUAGGGGGGGUAAUGGCUCACCUAGGCGACGGUCCCCAGCUGGUCUGAGAGGACGAGCAUCCACACUGGAACGGAGACACGGACCAGACUCCUACGGGAGGCAGCAGUGGGGAAUAUUGCAGAAUGGGCGCAAGGCUGGUGCAGCCAUGCCGCGUGUAUGAAGAAGGCCUUCAGGUUGUAAAGUACUUUCAGCGGGGAGGAAGGUGUUGAGGUUAAGAACCUCAGCAAUUGACGUUACCCGCAGAAGAAGCACCGGCUAACUCCGUGCCAGCAGCCGCGGUAA